rnacentral:rRNA from 1 species
UGGGGAAUCUUCCGCAAUGGACGAAAGUCUGACGGAGCAACGCCGCGUGAGUGAAGAAGGUUUUCGGAUCGUAAAACUCUGUCUUUUGGGGCGAACGUGAGUAUGGUGAACAAUCAUAGUCAGUGACGGUACCAAAGGAGGAAGCCACGGCUAACUACGUGCCAGCAGCCGCGGUAAUACGUAGGUGGCAAGCGUUGUCCGGAAUUAUUGGGCGUAAAGAGCGCGUAGGCGGGAUAGUCAGUCUGUUGUAAAGUGCGGGGCUCAACCCCGUGAUCGCAAUGGAACAGCUAUUCUUGAGUGCAGGAGAGGAAAGUGGAAUUCCCAGUGUAGCGGUGAAAUGCGUAGAUAUUGGGAGGAACACCAGUGGCGAAGGCGACUUUCUGGACUGUGUCUGACGCUGAGGCGCGAAAGCCAGGGGAGCGAACGGGAUUAGAUACCCCGGUAGUCCUGGCCGUAAACGAUGGGUACUAGGUGUGGGAGGUAUCGACCCCUUCCGUGCCGGAGUUAACGCAAUAAGUACCCCGCCUGGGGAGUACGGUCGCAAGACUGAAACUCAAUGAAUUGACGGGGUCAUAGCUGUUUCCUG